rnacentral:tRNA from 1 species
GGGCGAUUAGCUCAGUUUGGUAGAGCAUCUCCCUUACAAGGAGAGGGUCAUCAGUUCAAGUCUGGUAUCGCCCA